UACGUAGGGUGCAAGCGUUAAUCGGAAUUACUGGGCGUAAAGGGUGCGUAGGCGGUUCGUUAAGUCUGUUGUGAAAUCCCCGGGCUCAACCUGGGAAUGGCAAUGGAUACUGGCGAGCUAGAGUGUGAUAGAGGAUGGUGGAAUUCCCGGUGUAGCGGUGAAAUGCGUAGAGAUCGGGAGGAACAUCAGUGGCGAAGGCGGCCAUCUGGAUCAACACUGACGCUGAAGCACGAAAGCGUGGGGAGCAAACAGG
rnacentral:rRNA from 1 species